GACGUAGGGCACGAGCGUUGUCCGGAUUUAUUGGGCGUAAAGAGCUCGUAGGCGGCUUGUCGCGUCGAAUGUGAAAUUUUAGGGCUCAACCCUGACAUUGCAUUCGAUACGGGCAGGCUUGAGUUCGGUAGGGGAGACUGGAAUUCCUGGUGUAGCGGUGGAAAUGACGCAGAUAUCAGGAGGAACACCGGUGGCGAAGGCGGGUCUCUGGGCCGAUACUGACGCUGAGGAGCGAAAGCGUGGGGAGCGAACAGG
rnacentral:rRNA from 1 species